ACUGACAACAAAUGAUGCUGCUGAGGAUAAAAAGGAAAUCAUACCUAUAGAAAGGGCCUUGAAAACAGAGGCAACUUAUAUAGUAAACAAAUUUGUGCAGACCCAAUAGAUGGAGAGAAAGAAAUUAGAAAUGACAUUUAUCCUUUUGGAAGAUCUGAGUCCAUUGCUUGGCCAGUACAGGAAUUUAAAACAUUCAAAUCCGAAUUCCUGAAAAAGCAUAGCAAAACCGUGACCAACUUGUUAAGGAUUGAAAAGGAUAUUUCUGAUUUCUGUUUCUCUGUCCAUGCACCAAAGAUAAGUAUUUAUUUUUUUAUAACUAAAUACAGGGAGAAUUUGUUAUGAUUACUGUUUCUAUAGUAUAUUAAUUAAUGUUUUCUUAAUUGUCAAAUAGGGACAAUGUGUUUGCAUAUGAUGCAGAGUUCUACUUGUCAUUUAAUUCAAUCCAAUCGAUGGAUAAUGGUUCUUUUAUAAGUACGGAUGUUUUGGAUGUAUGGUAAUUG